ACGCUCGACACCUGGGGCAGCAGUGGGGAAUAUUGCACAAUGGGGGAAACCCUGAUGCAGCAACGCCGCGUGAAGGAAGACGGUUUUCGGAUUGUAAACUUCUGUUCUUAGUGAAGAUAGUGACGGUAGCUAAGGAGCAAGCCACGGCUAACUACGUGCCAGCAGCCGCGGUAAUCUGAGCGGGCUGGCAAGGC
rnacentral:rRNA from 1 species